CUGGACGUGGUUGGGAAAUUGAACAACCUGGACCUCCGUUCCCAUUUCCUUGUUGUUUCAGCGGGAGAUAAGAGGAGAAGUAAUAGCUGUCGUGUUGGGGCGCUUGCCUUGGUCCUGGGCCCCAUCAGCUGCUGUGAGGAGACAGUUUCUUUUCCAUAGUUGAGGAAAUGGAGCGCAGAGAGGUUGAGUGAGUCAACCAAGGUCACCCAGCUGGAGGUGGGGCAGGGUCUGGCUCCAGGCUGUGUGCUCUCACCCACCCUGCUUGCACGGGCUUUAGGAAUAGCCCCUGUGUCCUGGAAGACAGAUCGCUCACCGAAUGGGCCUCUUUUCUUGGUAUCAUAUGAUGAGGUAGGCUCACUUUCCCCCAGACUUAGCUUGCCAGAAUAUUCAUGGUUUUUUCUCUGUACUCACCUGUCAUCUCUCCAACUUGGUGCCAUCACCCAUGAAGUGGGAUGCUUUGGUGCGUGUCUGGCCUGGGGAGAGGGCUGCUUGCUUUGUCAGAAGACUCAAAGCAUGAUGGGCAUCCAAAUACCAAAGACCUAUGUUGACCUGUGUUUUUCACUCCGCUUGAUGGCAGUUGAGGGCUAUAUUCACUGCCUCAGUUGCAUGGAGUGAACAAGACCUAGUGAAGGUGGUGGGUGCGCUGAGACCAUCUGGUUGAUCUCUCCUGGGUGGGACCAGGUGCUCCCCUCACCACCCCCACCCUUGUCUGUGUACCACCACUCUGCACAGACACGUUGGCUGGUGCAGUCCUGGAGACCCACGGAGCUCACGGUCGUCAGGGGUCCUCAAGGAUUCAGAGAACCCCCAAAUGUCAGGGCUGCUCCCUUCUUGUCCUGCCUCUCUGCUCACACCCUUGGACAGGAGGAAGCACACGGGAGGCACUCAGAGAACGUUUGUGGAAUGAAUAAAUAAAAGCAUAUUUUGAGGGAAUAAAGAAGCAGAAAAACAAAGAAGAAUCUGGGGAAGAUGGGCAUAAAUCUCCACCAAGUGCUGCCAAGGCUUCCCAGGCGAGGCUGCUGAAAAGACCCUGUGGAGGGGAGCGGCAGGACCUGCCAAGGCCUGGGGGAGCCCGCCAGCCUGCUGAGUUCUACUGUACAAACAGUUGGGGAGGGGGCGCUGUCUCUGUUAACUUGAAAUUCCCCGAUCAGUAAACAUGCCAAUUUAAAGUGUAAUUAACUCAGGCCGGAAAAAAUUCAGAUUUGGACUGCUUUUCACAGUUGAGCGGCUGCUCUGCCUGGGAUAAACACAUUUCAAGAGUCUCAGUCCCCGCUUUGCCACCAUCUCCUCCUCUGAUCUCCUUUCCUGCUUCAAAAGACUCCAGAAUCUUCUCGGUUCUCAGAGAAGGCUGAAUCCACCUAUGACCUAGUGGGAGCACCCUGUGCCGAAACUGUUUACCUUCUGGUCCCCGGAGCCAUGGGUCACGACCUGGGCCUCAUGUAGGCCCGCUCCUCAGCAGACCCCAAUCUGCGGCUUCUCCCACCUCACUGGGGAAGAAGGAGAGCCCUGGGGAUGUGGAGAAGCCACCCCCCACCCCGCCACAUCCCCCACAUCUUACAGAAUCUCGAUUGAAUCCCCGGGGGCACAUCCCUCAGCAGGACAGCAACAGUCUUUGCCGCAGCCUGGGGAGGGCUGUGCUGGGGAUGAGCGCCGAGUGGCCGUGGACUAAGUGAAGGAAAUGACCAUGCUCUUCUCCCAGCUGGAUGGCGAGGCCGGGCAGGAACCGCGGAAUUCCUGCUCUUCGUUUUCAAACACUUUGCUGUCAAGCUAUUUGAAUAAUAAAUACACAUUAUAAAAAUGUAAA
ensembl:lncRNA MEG9 maternally expressed 9